UGGGGGAUAUUGCACAAUGGGCGAAAGCCUGAUGCAGCGACGCCGCGUGGGGGAUGAAGGCUUUCGGGUUGUAAACCUCUUUCGCUAUCGAACAAGGCCCGCUUAGGGUGGGUUGAGGGUAGGUGGAGAAGAAGCGCCGGCUAACUACGUGCCAGCAGCCGCGGUAAUACGUAGGGCGCGAGCGUUGUCCGGAAUUAUUGGGCGUAAAGGGCUUGUAGGCGGCUUGUUGCGCCUGCUGUGAAAACGCGGGGCUUAACUUCGCGCGUGCAGUGGGUACGGGCAGGCUUGAGUGUGGUAGGGGUGACUGGAAUUCCAGGUGUAGCGGUGGAAUGCGGAGAUAUCUGGAGGAACACCGAUGGCGAAGGCAGGUCACUGGGCCAUUACUGACGCUGAGGAGCGAAAGCAUGGGUAGCGAACAGG
rnacentral:rRNA from 1 species